UACGUAGGUGACAAGCGUUGUCCGGAUUUAUUGGGUUUAAAGGGUGCGUAGGCGGUCUUAUAAGUCAGUGGUGAAAUACGGCAGCUCAACUGUCGAGGUGCCAUUGAUACUGUAGGACUUGAGUACAGACGAGGUAGGCGGAAUUGACGGUGUAGCGGUGAAAUGCUUAGAUAUCGUCAAGAACACCGAUAGCGAAGGCAGCUUACUAGGCUGUAACUGACGCUGAGGCACGAAAGUGUGGGGAUCAAACAGG
rnacentral:rRNA from 1 species